GCACAGAUGGUGUAAUGGCAGCAUUUGAGUCUUCCAAACUCUAGGUACGAGUUCAAAUCUCGUCGAUCGCU
rnacentral:tRNA from 1 species